UACGUAGGGUGCAAGCGUUAUCCGGAAUUACUGGGCGUAAAGCGUGCGCAGGCGGUGAUGUAAGACAGUUGUGAAAUCCCCGGGCUCAACCUGGGAACUGCAUCUGUGACUGCAUCGCUGGAGUGCGGCAGAGGGGGAUGGAAUUCCGCGUGUAGCAGUGAAAUGCGUAGAUAUGCGGAGGAACACCGAUGGCGAAGGCAAUCCCCUGGGCCUGCACUGACGCUCAUGCACGAAAGCGUGGGGAGCAAACAGG
rnacentral:rRNA from 1 species